UGGGGAAUCUUGCGCAAUGGGCGAAAGCCUGACGCAGCAACGCCGCGUGGGGGACGAAGGCUCUCGGGUUGUAAACCCCUUUCAGGAGGGACGAAAUUGACGGUACCUCCAGAAGAAGCCCCGGCCAACUACGUGCCAGCAGCCGCGGUAACACGUAGGGGGCGAGCGUUGUCCGGAUUUAUUGGGCGUAAAGAGCUCGUAGGUGGCUCGGUAAGUCGGGUGUGAAAUUUCGAGGCUCAACCUCGAGACGCCACCUGAUACUGCUGUGGCUAGAGUCCGGUAGGGGAGCGUGGAAUUCCUGGUGUAGCGGUGAAAUGCGCAGAUAUCAGGAGGAACACCAGCGGCGAAGGCGGCGCUCUGGGCCGGUACUGACACUGAGGAGCGAAAGCGUGGGGAUCAAACAG
rnacentral:rRNA from 1 species